rfam:TPA: Bos taurus chromosome 9, whole genome shotgun sequence.
UCCCUGGUGGCUCAGAUGGUAAAAAAUCUGCCUGCAACGCAGGAGACCCAGGUUCGAUCCCUGGUUUGGGAC